rnacentral:rRNA from 1 species
GACGAACGCUGGCGGCGUGCUUAACACAUGCAAGUCGAGCGGUAAGGCCCUUCGGGGUACGCGAGCGGCGAACGGGUGAGUAACACGUGGGUGACCUGCCUUUAGCUCUGGGAUAAGCCUGGGAAACUGGGUCUAAUACCGGAUAUGACCUCAUGACGCAUGUUGUGGGGUGGAAAGCCUUGUGCGGCUAGAGAUGGGCCCGCGGCCUAUCAGCUUGUUGGUGGGGUNAUGGCCACCAAGGCGACGACGGGUAGCCGGCCUGAGAGGGCGACCGGCCACACUGGGACUGAGACACGGCCCAGACUCCUACGGGAGGCAGCAGUGGGGAAUCUUGCGCAAUGGGCGAAAGCCUGACGCAGCGACGCCGCGUGAGGGAUGACGGCCUCGGUGU